UACGGUAGGGCGCAAGCGUUAUCCGGAAUUAUUGGGCGUAAAGAGCUCGUAGGCGGUUUGUCGCGUCUGCCGUGAAAGUCCGGGGCUCAACUCCGGAUCUGCGGUGGGUACGGGCAGACUAGGGUGAUGUAGGGGAGACUGGAAUUCCUGGUGUAGCGGUGAAAUGCGCAGAUAUCAGGAGGAACACCGAUGGCGAAGGCAGGUCUCUGGGCCGAUACUGACGCUGAGGAGCGAAAGCUGGGGGAGCGAAACGGG
rnacentral:rRNA from 1 species